CAGAAAUUUAUUUCUCACAGAUUGGGAGCCUGGAAGCCUGAGAUCAGGGCGCCACCAUGGUCAGAUCUUGGCCAGCUCAUCGAUGCCUUCUUCUCUGAUGACUGUGCUGUCGACGUCAAAGCAGACUGCAUCUGCUGAGCAGAAGACUUUCCUCAACUCUGAGUGGGAGACCAUCCUUAGGAGAAUAUUCCUCCUACAACAAAAAGUGAUAAAUAUACUUAAAGACAUAAAAUACAGGCCAGCCAGUCCCUGGAGUCACAGUAUCUACUUUCUUGCUCUCUUUGCAAACAAUUGUUUUGGGUACAAUGCUGCUUUAGGUCCAGUCCAAAGGUUAUUUGGCCCAGUUUUAACAUUACAAAGCCUCGAGACACGCUGGGCAAGGCAGUCCCUCUGGAAUGACAGCUCCAACCCUAUUUUAAAGUGGCUCCAAUUGGCCCUGACCCCCGUGGCUCAGUUGAUUGGGUGCCAUCCCACAAGGCAGAAGGUCACCAGUUAAACUGCUGGUCCGGGCACAUGCCUGGGUUGUGGGUUCCGCGUCCCUGAUUGGGCCGAUCAGUGUUUCCCCCUCACAUUGAUGUUUCUCUCC